CUCGUCCUAUGUUGCCAGCGAGUUCGGGGACUCAUAGGAGACUGCCGGGGUCAACUCGGAGGAAGGUGGGGAUGACGUCAAGUCAUCAUGCCCCUUACGUCUUGGGCUGCACACAUGCUACAAUGGCCGGUACAAAGGGCUGCGAUACCGCAAGGUGGAGCGAAUCCCAAAAAGCCGGUCUCAGUUCGGAUCGGGGUCUGCAACUCGACCCCGUGAAGUCGGAGUCGCUAGUAAUCGCAGAUCAGCAAUGCUGCGGUGAAUACGUUCCCGGCCUUGUACACACCGCCCGUCACGUCACGAAAGUCGGUAACACCCGAAGCCGGUGGCCUAACCCUAGGAGCCGUCGAAGGUGGGACCGGCGAUUGGGACGAAGUCGUAACAAGGUAGCCGUACCGGAAGGUGCGGCUGGAUCACCUCCUUUCUAAGGAGCGUGUCCCCGUUGGGGGUCCAGGGCCAGCGCCAGGCGGAUGUCCUGGUGUGGUUGCUCAUAGGGCGUGGACACUGACGCCUGCCGGUCAUGUCCGGCUCCUAGUGCUGGUGGGAACGGGGUCGGGUGGGGGUGCUGCUGGCACGUUGGGUCCUGAGGGAGCGAGUUUCUUCAGUGACUUCGGGGUGGUGCGGGGGGGUUCGGUCGCGCGGGCCGCGGUACCGCGUCUGGUCGUGGUGGCGGGGGGCCGUCUGUACUUCGAGAACUGCACAGUGGACGCGAUCUUUGUGGCCAAGUUAUUAAGGGCG
rnacentral:misc_RNA from 1 species